rnacentral:rRNA from 1 species
GUCCUAAGGUAGCGAAAUUCCUUGUCGGGUAAGUUCCGACCUGCACGAAUGGCGUAAUGAUGGCCAGGCUGUCUCCACCCGAGACUCAGUGAAAUUGAACUCGCUGUGAAGAUGCAGUGUACCCGCGGCAAGACGGAAAGACCCCGUGAACCUUUACUAUAGCUUGACACUGAACAUUGAGCCUUGAUGUGUAGGAUAGGUGGGAGGCUUAGAAGUGUGGACGCCAGUCUGCAUGGAGCCGACCUUGAAAUACCACCCUUUAAUGUUUGAUGUUCUAACGUUGACCCGUAAUCCGGGUUGCGGACAGUGUCUGGUGGGUAGUUUGACUGGGGCGGUCUCCUCCUAAAGAGUAACGGAGGAGCACGAAGGUUGGCUAAUCCUGGUCGGACAUCAGGAGGUUAGUGCAAUGGCAUAAGCCAGCUUGACUGCGAGCGUGACGGCGCGAGCAGGUGCGAAAGCAGGUCAUAGUGAUCCGGUGGUUCUGAAUGGAAGGGCCAUCGCUCAACGGAUAAAAGGUACUCCGGGGAUAACAGGCUGAUACCGCCCAAGAGUUCAUAUCGACGGCGGUGUUUGGCACCUCGAUGUCGGCUCAUCACAUCCUGGGGCUGAAGUAGGUCCCAAGGGUAUGGCUGUUCGCCAUUUAAAGUGGUACGCGAGCUGGGUUUAGAACGUCGUGAGACAGUUCGGUCCCUAUCUGCCGUGGGCGCUGGAGAACUGAGGGGGGCUGCUCCUAGUACGAGAGGACCGGAGUGGACGCAUCACUGGUGUUCGGGUUGUCAUGCCAAUGGCACUGCCCGGUAGCUAAAUGCGGAAGAGAUAAGUGCUGAAAGCAUCUAAGCACGAAACUUGCCCCGAGAUGAGUUCUCCCUGACUCCUUGAGAGUCCUGAAGGAACGUUGAAGACGACGACGUUGAUAGGCCGGGUGUGUAAGCGCAGCGAUGCGUUGAGCUAACCGGUACUAAUGAACCGUGAGGCUUAACCUUACAAC